UGUUUUUUUUUCUCAGGGUUGCUUUGGCAAUUCUGGGUCUUUUGUGGUUCUAUGUAAAUUUUAGGAUUAUUUGUUCUAGUCCUAUAAAAAAGGAUGACCUCUUUCUGGUGAUUUGGAGUCCAACAACCUGCAGUACACCAGCCCUUAAGUCACAUGCCUGCGCAAUAAAUGCAGGUCUAGACCAGAGUCACUGUCAAUCCCCAAAUGCCCUGGAAUACCAUUGUCAUAGACUUGUUCCACUCUUACAACCAUGUUGUUUGGUUGUGGUGUACUCCAAUACCAAGUUAGAAUAUGUUAUCCCUUUUAUCAGCUUACAGCCUGCAAUAGACUGGAUGUUUGUGUCCUCCCCCCACCCCACCCCCCAAAUUCAUAUGUUGAAAUCCUAACCUUCAGUGUGAUGGUAUUAGGAGGUGAUGGUAUUAGUGUUUGGUAGGUGAUUAGGUCAUGAUGGUGGAGCCCUCGUGAAUGGGACUAGUGCCUUUAUAAAAGAGACCCCCAAGGACUCUCUUCCCCUUUAUGCCAUGUGAGGAUAUAGUGAGAAGACAGCUGGCUAUGAACCAGGAAGUGAGCCCUCACAAGAUGCCAAAUCUGCUGGCAUCUUGAUCUUAUACUUUCCAGGCUCCAGAACUGCAAGAAAUAAGUUUCUGUGGUUUAUAAACCACCCAGUCUAUGGAAUUCUGUUAUAGCAGCCUGAACUGACUCAGACACUGCCACUCUGUAAAUUUCCAGCGAAAAACUGUAUGUAUCCCUAGUAUGUAUCCUAGAUUUGGAUUAUACUGUUCAGUUUGUCCUCUACCUAUCAUUUCAAGAUCAGUAACCAGUUGGAAUACAGCACCUGGGUCUCAAGAGAAGAUUUCUGCUGCUAGGACCUUGUGGACAACACUAUCAACUCACCUAACUGGUCUCUGAAGAAUUUGCCUUUGACUAUUCAUUAUACCCUUUCACCUAGCACACAGUUUCAUAGCCGCUUAUCCCCAUUAUUCUUUCCCAUUAAGCCCUCCUACCUUAACAGCUGGGAAGUACCUAAAGAUACCGUAGACUACUCAAGCAGAUCUGGAAGGUGCCUCUGCAAGGUAAUGAGCAAUUUAAAUGUUGACUAGAGACAGACAUCAGAGGAGACCAACCAAUGGGUGAUACCACAGACACUCAGAUAUAUAGGCAAAUCUGCCUUUGACAAAAAGAACCUUGCUAAAAGGAAUUAUUAAGGAUCAUAAAGGCCCUUGUUGCAUUACUACCCUGGCAUUCACUUAUUGUUCUGUUCCUGCUUCUGGUCAUGCCUGAACCAGCAUGGCCCUACCUCCUCCUUCAUUGCUCUUGCCAACAUUUGCCAACCUGAAAUCAGGAACCAUCCAUAUGGGGGUGAAAAGUGACCAGCAACCCUUGAUGCUACCUUAACUCCAAUAAACCAGUACACUGGGAUGGGUAUGGGCCAACCCUGAAAAUACAUCAGCCCCAUAUUUAUAGUGAUGCUUCCUCAGAUUUUAAGCCACAUAUACCAGAUAAAUGUUUUUGUCCUUUUAUUUCUCUAUUUAAAAAAAAGAGUCUCUAUAAAAAUAAUUCCUUUUAAGUUCUUUAAUUAGGUGUAAAUUUUAUAUCCAGCCCAAGUACAUCUCUUUUUCUUUCAUUCACUCAGAAACACGGAAGUGUCACUUGCAUGGAGAGUUGGAGAGAAGCCUGCAUCUCAAGAUUACAACAGAGUGUGAUAAGCAUAAUGAUAGGGACAUGUAGAAAGGGCUGUGGGAGCAACAAAGACCUUGCCAAAGGGACCAGAGGGCAUACAGAGAAAAGGACGUUUGAACUACAUCUUCAGAAGUCAAAAUUUAGCCACAUAUAGACUCAAAAUUCUUUCCAAAGUAGAAUGCUGGCUAAAGCUCUUUCCCAUAAUUACUCUGAUUAGAUGAUCCACCUAAGCAUGUUAUAUGGCUUCUCUGUCAUUACAUGAUUUCACUGUCUUCUCGUGUGUUGCUGCAUUGUGACUUCAUACAUUCCAAGGGCAUUCCACAUGGCAACCAAAGGGCAGGAAGUGAGGACAGAGGGCCUUGCUUAGGGCUGUAGCUGUUAUAUGGCAGCCCUCUUUGCAGUCACAUUAUCCUUGUUUCCUCCUAUAACAUGGGAGAGUCUUUCUUUUUAGGGUUCAGUGGCUCAACAGGUUUGGAAGGAUUUGGUAAAGGGAUGCUUCCUUGAGUUCUACUGCUUGGAGAAGACAGGAAAUUUAGCAAGUCAAAUGGCAAAGGGACUCGGACGCAGCCUUCUCCCCUUCUGCAGCGAUCAUCUAGACAAGGGAUGUGAAGAAAAGCAAAGUGAUUUUUCUUCUUCGCUCCAUGAAGGUUUUAAUCCUACUUAGCGUGACUCAACAAACAAGCACUAGUAUCUACUGUGUGACAGGUCACUGCAUCCAAGGCAACCUGUGGAGGGAAGAGUUUAGAUGUCAGUAAGAACCUCCAGGUGGGAGGAGAGCACCCCUAUGCACCGAUAGCCAUUGCACUGAGAAAGCACAUUUCUCAUUAUGUACUUCCCUGUUUUGUUUUAACGUUAUAGGGCCUUGCAAAAGUUGUUUAAUUUGCACAGUGCCACUCAACAAAUAUUUGUGGAAUUAAAGAUGGUGUGGUAGGCUGACGAAUGGCUCAUAAAGACAUCCAUGCCCUAAUCCCUGGAACCUGUGAGUGUUACCCCAAAAGAGACUUUGCAGAUGCAAUUAAGUUCCAGGCUGUUAAAAUGAGGAGUUUAUCCUGAAUCUUGCUGGUGGGCCCUAAAAGCAAUUGCAAGUGUCCUUAUAAGAGGGAAGUGGAGGGACAUCUGGCUACAGAAGAGGAGAAGGUGGUGUGAUGAUGGAAGCAGAGGUUGGAGUGCUGUGCUUUUAAGAUGGAGGAAGGGACCAUGAUCUAAAGAAUGCAGGUGGUCACCUGAAGCUGAAAAAGGCAAGGAAAUGAAUUCUCCUCUCAAAACCUCCAGAAGGACCCAGUCCUGCUGACUGACACCUUGACUCUGGCCCAGUAAAACUUCUUUUGGACUUCUGGCCUUCAAAACUGUAAGGUUGGGACUUCCCUGGUGGUCCAGUGGUAAAGAAUCUGCCUUCCAGUGCAGGGGACGCGGGUUCAGAG